rnacentral:rRNA from 1 species
UACGUAGGGGGCGAGCGUUGUCCGGAAUUAUUGGGCGUAAAGCGCGCGUAGGUGGCCCCAUAAGUCCGCUGUGAAAGUCAAAGGCUCAACCUUUGAAAGCCGGUGGAUACUGUGGGACUAGAGUACGGAAGAGGCGAGUGGAAUUCCUGGUGUAGCGGUGGAAUGCGCAGAUAUCAGGAGGAACACCAAUAGCGAAGGCAGCUCGCUGGGACGUUACUGACACUGAGGCGCGAAAGCGUGGGGAGCGAACAGG